rnacentral:ncRNA from 1 species
CGCCGGAGGCGGCGUAAAACACCGACUGCCCACGGGAUGCGACCCCGUAAAUAAGCGUA